rnacentral:tRNA from 1 species
GCUGUAUCUUAGCGGUAGAGCACCCAAAGGUUCCAGGUUCAAUUCCUGGCAUCUUCC